GGGCUCGUAGCUCAGCUGGAUAGAGCGCAAGAUUCCUAAGCUUGAGGUCGCAGGUUCGAGCCCUGCCGGACUCACCA
rnacentral:tRNA from 1 species